GAUGAACGCUCGCUCCAGGCUUAACACAUGCAAGUCGAGGGGCAGCAUGAACUUAGCUUGCUAAGUUUGAUGGCGACCGGCGCACGGGUGAGUAACACGUAUCCAACCUGCCGAUGACUCGGGGAUAGCCUUUCGAAAGAAAGAUUAAUACCCGAUGGCAUAGUUCUUCCGCAUGGUAGAACUAUUAAAGAAUUUCGGUCAUCGAUGGGGAUGCGUUCCAUUAGGUUGUUGGCGGGGUAACGGCCCACCAAGCCUUCGAUGGAUAGGGGUUCUGAGAGGAAGGUCCCCCACAUUGGAACUGAGACACGGUCCAAACACCUACGGGAGGCAGCAGUGAGGAAUAUUGGUCAAUGGACGAGAGUCUGAACCAGCCAAGUAGCGUGAAGGAUGACUGCCCUAUGGGUGGUAAACUUCUUUUAUACGGGAAUAAAGUGAGGCACGGGUGCCUUUUUGUAUGUACCGUAUGAAUAAGGAUCGGCUAACUCCGUG
rnacentral:rRNA from 1 species